GGGCCCGCACAAGCGGUGGAGUAUGUGGUUUAAUUCGAUGCAACGCGAAGAACCUUACCAGGGUUUGACAUCCUGCGAAUCUCUUGGAAACAGGAGAGUGCCUUCGGGAACGCAGUGACAGGUGGUGCAUGGCUGUCGUCAGCUCGUGUCGUGAGAUGUUGGGUUAAGUCCCGCAACGAGCGCAACCCUUGUCUCUAGUUGCCAGCGCGUAAUGGCGGGGGACUCUAGAGAGACCGCCGGCGUUAAGCCGGAGGAAGGUGGGGAUGACGUCAAGUCCUCAUGGCCCUUAUGACUAGGGCUGCACACGUCCUACAAUGGAACGCACAAAGGGAUGCGAAACCGCGAGGUCAAG
rnacentral:rRNA from 1 species